CCCGCACAAGCGGUGGAGCAUGUGGUUUAAUUCGACGCAACGCGAAGAACCUUACCAGGGCUUGACAUCCCCUGACCGCGUAUGAAAGUACGUUUUCACCCUCGGGUGACAGGGAGACAGGUGGUGCAUGGUUGUCGUCAGCUCGUGUCGUGAGAUGUUGGGUUAAGUCCCGCAACGAGCGCAACCCUCGACCUUAGUUGCCAGCAUUCAGUUGGGCACUCUAAGGUGACUGCCGGCUAAAAGUCGGAGGAAGUGGGGAUGACGUCAAAUCAUCAUGCCCCUUAUGACCUGGGCUACACACGUGCUACAAUGGGCGGUACAAAGGGUCGCGAACCCGCGAGGGGGAGCCAAUCCCAAAAAGCCGCUCUCAGUUCGGAUUGCAGGCUGCAACUCGCCUGCAUGAAGCCGGAAUCGCUAGUAAUCGCGGAUCAGCAUGCCGCGGUGAAUACGUUCCCGGGCCUU
rnacentral:rRNA from 1 species